rnacentral:rRNA from 1 species
UACGUAGGGUGCGAGCGUUAAUCGGAAUUACUGGGCGUAAAGCGUGCGCAGGCGGUCUGUUAAGACCGAUGUGAAAUCCCCGGGCUUAACCUGGGAACUGCAUUGGUGACUGGCAGGCUUUGAGUGUGGCAGAGGGAGGUAGAAUUCCACGUGUAGCAGUGAAAUGCGUAGAGAUGUGGAGGAAUACCGAUGGCGAAGGCAGCCUCCUGGGCCAGCACUGACGCUCAUGCACGAAAGCGU